UUGCUUCCUUAUCGUGUAGUAUUCCAUGAUGAGUGCAUUUCACACCCACCCGUUCUGUGAUGGGCAUCUGGGCUGCUUCCUUGGUUUUUUGGUUUGUCUUUUAUUUUUUCCCCUAGAGACAAGGUCUCACUCUGUCACCCAGUCUGGCGGAUGCUUCCAUUUUUUGACUGUUAUGAAUAUCAUGCUCUGACCAGCGCUGUUUCUGGGUGGCCACAGGCACCCCCUUCUGUUGGGCACCUGCCCAGGCGUGGAACUGGAGUCUGACAUUCACGUGUUCCUGGUUCAGCAACAUGCACUGAGAAUGUGCCACACACGCGGCCAGCCCUGUCCCAGGGACAGAGCUGGGAACUUCUUUUCCAGCUGCCAUUGAAAUGGCUGGUGAGGACUGUGGCCUCAGGAGUCAACGCCUCGCUGUGCACCUCUCCCCUGCCUCGGUCUCCCGACCUGCCAUGCCCUGAAAGGAUGGCGCCUCUCAGCGUGGCGACGCGGACCGAGCUGUCUCCAUGGUCAUGCUGUGGCCCCGACACCCACGGCCCCUCCGUGGACUUUCCCUGCCGCCUUUUCCGUCCACCCUCCCCCUCCGUGGAGGACUUUCCUUGCCGCCUUUUCUGUCCACCCUCAGCCCCCAGCAGGGAAGACUGGCUGAGCACUGGGUGUCCACAGGCUGUAUGUGGACAGGGUCUACAGGGCCCCCGCCAGGUGCAGCAGAGGCAGUUAGAUUGUCAGUCCCGGGGUCC
rnacentral:lncRNA from 1 species